CCUCCUCUCCCUAGCUCAAACCCCCCCCUCCUCAAUCCGUCCCCUCCGCUGCCCUCUCUCCCAGCUCGCUGGCUAACAACCCCAUCUGCCACGUGCCCCCUCCACCUUUCUUUGCAUUUCCUGGCACGCUUCGGGUUGCAAAAAAAAAAAAAAAGGGGGAGGAAAAGGAGGUUUUCACGAUGUGGACGUGCAUAAUGACAUGUGUUGCUAACGUUCUCAGUUUGCAUACAGACUCUUUCAAUUUCUCUCAUCUGUGUUAAAAAUCCCUUCUUUUGCUGAGAACCUGUUUUCUGAUCCCUGUGGGAAACGAAUUUGACCAACUUUAGCGAGUCGAGCAGAAGGAUUCACGCAAAAAAAUCGUUUUCCGGGAUGUAAAUCCACUCAAUGGACAAGGGCAAGUUCAAGCAAAGCAGAUUACCGGCAAGCGCGCGGGCCUGUGCACGCGCUUGUCUUCAUGCCGCUGAUCACAUUCACAUGAAAUGCUUGAUGUAACACACCGCUGCAUGCGAGCACCACACCGAUUGCGAGUGUUUCAGUGAAUGCUGCACAGAGAGGAGGCAGAGAGAACUAGAGAAGGGGCACGACGGGCAGAAAGCGUUGCCUGGGUCGGGGCAGAAAGAGGAAGGCGACAGCGAAGACAACCGCAAGCUUCAGAGUGUUGACUCCAAAACAAUGUGUUCUUCCGGGAUGCCUGUCUGUUAGAUCCUUUUGGGUAUCCGCUCUUGCUGUGGCCACUCUGUCACCAUCACCAGAAACUCCUGAGCCGGGAUUGCGCCAACCUUUUUUAGCUCGACGCCUCGGCCAAUCACGAGCCACUGUGGUCAUGUGAUUGAGCCAUCUGACACACAACUGUUGGCUUUGGACAACAACAUCAGUGACGUUGUACACUUGGCCAGCAAGUGGCUGUUGUGAUGAAUGCUUACACACACACACACACACACACUCACACACACGUCCACGCGCACACAAAGAAGACAUGUUAAUGAAUGAAUAAAGGAAGAGCAGAUGGCUGGCCUGUUGCCACUGAAAAACACACUCAUAGACUUUUGCUUGGUUUGGCACUUAAUGAGCAAUCUGCUGCCACUGUAUCUCCUUGACCUACAUCUCACUGUAGAACAUCUUUAACUAAGAGUCUUAAGACCCCUGCAACACACACAUGACCAAACAAAUCCAGAACUUAUGCAAACGCACAUGAGGGCACAUUUUUUUUUUCUUCUUCUUCUAUAUUUUGAUUUCAAUACAAAGUAGAAAGAAAAGGUUAUACAAGAGUUGUAAUGUUUUCUCUUUUUUCAUGCACUGACGCAUGCUCCGGGCUGACUGGUGCGUUCGCUCACUCCCAGGUACAGAUGUAGGGCAGGUCAUCCCCGCACGCAGGACUUACACGUGUCUGGCGAGCAUCCCAUUAUACUUUCAGACACACACACACACACACACACCCACACACACACACACACACACACACACACACACACACACACACAGUCUAAUUAUACGGAGCGCCGGGUCACCUCACCUGGCAGGUCGGUGUAAAGAUAGCCGGGACAGGAGAGAGCAGUUUGAAACAACAUGUGGAGGGUGAGAAAGAGACACGUGUUGCUCUUUCGUUUGUGAAAUGCAACAGGGGGGGGGG